CAACUAACAAAAAUACCGGCAAGUACUUGGUUGCAGCCUCCCCAUUCAUGGAUGCUCCGAUUGCAGUAGACAACAUGACUGCAACAGCCACUUUACACUAUUCAGGAGCACUUUCUAACUCCCCUACAACUCUCACCAUCCCACCUCCCAAGAAUGCCACUGCAAUUGCCAACCAAUUUACUAAUUCUCUACGCAGUCUAAACUCGAAAAGGUUCCCUGCCAAAGUCCCAUUAACCGUUGAUCACAGCCUUUUCUUCACUGUUGGUCUGGGAAUUAACCCGUGUCCAACUUGCAAAGCUGGUAAUGGUAGCAGGGUUGUUGCUAGUAUCAACAAUGUCACAUUUGUAAUGCCAACCACCGCCCUGCUUCAAGCACAUUUCUUCAACAUCAGCGGCGUGUUCACCACUGAUUUUCCUGCAAAGCCACCACAUGUUUUUAAUUACACCGGCACUCCACCCACAAAUUUACAGACCAGAAGUGGAACAAAAGUAUAUAGGUUGGCCUACAACUCGACAGUCCAACUUGUUAUGCAAGAUACUGCGAUCAUAUCCCCUGAGAACCAUCCAAUCCAUCUACAUGGAUUCAAUUUCUUUGCUGUUGGUCGGGGAGUAGGGAAUUACAAUCCGAAGACUGAUCCUAAGAAAUUCAACCUUGUUGACCCUGUUGAACGGAACACAAUUGGAGUACCUUCUGGUGGAUGGGUUGCGAUCAGAUUUCGUGCUGAUAAUCCUGGUAAUUGAUGUUUUUGGUUUAUGUCCACUAAAUUUGAACUUGAGAAAUUUUUCAUAAUUCAUUUUCUUUAAUUUUUUUUUUCAAUUUUUGAAGGAGUUUGGUUCAUGCAUUGCCAUCUGGAGGUGCACACUACAUGGGGUCUUAAGAUGGCAUUCUUGGUGGACAAUGGAAAAGGCCCUAAUGAGUCACUUCUGCCGCCUCCUACCGAUCUUCCAAAAUGUUAAACCAGCUGAAGAAAUUAAUUUACUUGGGGGAUAGAAGCAGUAGCGGAUCAGAACAGUGGUCCGCCGAAAGAUCAGAUGCUCGAAAGGAGAGGAGUAAUAUAUAUAUAUAUAAACACACACACAUAUAAAAAAGAAAAGUUGAGAGUUAAAAGAUCUAAUUUGUUUCUUGAGUAAUUUGAAAUAGUUGCUCAAGCGAGUUUGAAUAAAAUUUUAUGAGUGAUACAGUUGUGGAAAUUCAAAUGUUUUCUUUCCCCUCAAAUAUAUAUAUAUUGAGAAUUUUUAUGGCUUAGCCAAUUAAUUUGUUUCUUUAAUAUGGUUUAUCAUUUUUUUUUCUUAUUGUGAGAAAUCUAGUUGUAUUAAGCUUGAUGAGAUACAAUAUUUGUAAAUCACAAAAGAACUUGCGUCAUCUAACCACACUUCAUUUAAAACUGCUAACAAGACAAAUGGAAUGUUUUUGUUAGAGGUCGAGUUAUUAUAUGUGAAAUUAUUUCUUAGAUUGCUAAUUAAAGGUUCUAAAAAACAUUUGCAAUUUAAUUCAACAAAAACUUUAUUUUGAAGAAUUAAAAUUAUGUGUAAUUGAUCAUCAACAUUCUAUAUCUAUAACGAUAUGCAAAUGAGAAAUAUAAAUUACAACAAAGUCAAUCAAUCAUUCGAAGAGCUUGCAAAUUUAAUCAAGAACUUAGUAUAAUAAGUACUUAACCACAUAAAAAAAAUAAACAUACAAUAUGCAACAACUUGUAGAAAACAAUAUUCAUCAACUUAAUAAAAAAUCAUUAUAUAAAAGUACUUAAUUGGAAGAAUUGAAAGACCAAGGAUAAAAAUGAAACAAAUGACAAAGUUUGGAAGUCCAAUUGAUUAAAUUGAAAAACUAAUUGAGGAGAAAAAAUAGAAUUGAGGGAAAAUUGGAAAGAUUUGCAAGUCAAUGACCGAAAUAAAAGAGAUGAGAAAUUUUGGAAUUCCAAUUAUUCAAUCAAGGGCUUAAUUGAGGAGAAAAAUUAAAUUUUAGAGUGAAUUAGAUAAAAAAAAAAUAGAAAAGUUAGAGACCAAAGACCAAAAUGGAAUAUGCGUUUAAAUUUAAGGAUCCUAUUAACUCAAUUAAGAGUGUGAUGGAAGAGAAUAAUUAAAAUUUGGAGUCAAUUUGAUAAAAAAAAUGAAAGAAUUAAAAAGCAAAGACCAAAAUGAAAUAGGCAUUGAAUUUUGGGGAUUGUAUUAAUUCAAUUAGGGACUUAAUUGAAGAAAAAAAAUAAUAUUUGAGGUCAAUUUGACCAAAAAUACACAAAUUUAAAAUCUAAAGACUAAUAAGUAACAGUUGCCAACAUUGAUGGACUAAUAUGUAAAAGAAACAUUUGACAAUUAAUACAUAUUGAUCGAAAAUAAAGAAAUUAAAAGUAUGGGGAUUAAGUUGUAACCAAAGAAAAGGAUGAAAAUAACAAAAAUAAAAAAUGAUAAAAUGGCAUUUAAAAUAAACGUUGCAUAACCUCAUUUAUAAGAAAUAAUCAAAGGCACCAAACAACAUUGUUUUAAGAGGGGGUAGAAAAACCUUUUUGUCCUUCGUACCAUGCAUGCAAGUUUUUAUCCCUUUUUUUUUUUUUUUUUUUUUGCAUUUGACAGGAUGUUAGACCACCGUUUUUCUUUCUGGCGUGAACAUUAAAUACCCAGAAUCAUGUCAUUUUCUUCCCCUGAAAUUAUACUUCACUUUGAGCCAAAGACCUAUUGCAUUGUCUCCAAGGCUUCGUUUGUUUGCAGAAAAGUAAAUUUUUUUUGGAAAGUAAAUUUCGGGGAAAGUGAAUUCCUGGAAAGUGAAUUCCGGAAAAGUAUUUUCUGAUGUUUGGUAGUGUUAUGGAAAAUGAACUGAAAAACACUUUCUAGUGUUUGGUUAUGUCAUAGAAAAUGAGCUGGAAAAUAACUUAUUAAUAUUUUAUUUUUCUCAAGUUUAUUAAAAUAAUGAGGAACAAAUCUUACAAAUUAAAAAGUUGAAUGAGAAUGAAAUUGAAAAAAAAUAUAUAAUUUCAUAAAUUAUCUCAAAUAAAACAAAUAAUAAUCAAAAUAAUAGGGAUCAAAUCUAAAAAAUUAAAAAAAAAUGAAAAAUGAAGAAAUUAAAAUAAUAAUAAUCAACAUUUCAUAAAUUAUUUCAAAUAAAAUAAGUAACAAUCAAAAGAAUGAGGAUCAAAUUUGAUAAAUAAAAAAUUUUAAUAAAAAAAUGAUAAGAAAAAUAGCAAUUAUGAAAAUAAGGACCAAAGUUCAUAUAAAAAUAAAAUUUUAAGAGAUGAAAUUGAAAAAUAAAUAUUCAAAACAAAAUAUAUAUAGCAAUCAAAAGUUUGAGGAUCAAAUUUGAUAUAAUCAGCAAAUAAUGACAUUUCUAAAAUUUUCACAACUUCCGGAAAGUGUUUUCCCCUCAAAUUUUUCAGGAAAACACUUUCCUGAAAACCAAGCCAAAAUUUCCUUUUACUGGAAAGUGUUUUUCAUUGACCAACUUUCCUACUGGCAAACAAACAUAAGAAAGUUUGGAAAGUGCUUUCCCGGACACCACUUUCCGAAAAACAAACACAACUAAAAGGAAAACACUUUCCUGAAAACCAAGUCAAUUUUUUUUUGGACUAAAAUUGACUGGAAAGUGUUUUCUGGUGACCGGAAAGUAUUUUUCGCUGACCGAAAAUUGUUUUUCGUUGACCAACUUUCCUAAUGACAAACAAACACAGAAAAAUUUGGAAAAUGGUUUCCCGGAAACUACUUUUCGGGAAGCAAACAAGGCCCAAGUGGUGGCAGAAAACGCAUGCCAAAGGAGCCAACCCCAACACUUUAUAUAAAGUGUACAACAACGAUGGAUGACUAAGAUUUGUCCAAAAAGAUUAACGAACAAUAUUAUAUAUCCAACCUAAAAAGGUUUUAGGACCUUCCUCUAAAAAGAAACUUAAAGAUAGAAAGUUCGAAUGAGAGAGAGAGAGAGAGAUUUUAGGAAGGGAGGUUUGAGCUCAAACCAACUUAUCUGAGUGGAAGAAGAUAUUGAGGAGAGAAAGAAGAAAAUGAAUAAAAAGAGAGAGAACUAUACCCCAAAAAAAAAAAACCUUAAUUGUGAGGAAGAAAGGAGUUGGAUUUUUGGGUCACUCAAAUGAUUCAUUUUGAACCGGAGAGUUCCACUUGGGAAGAAAAAGAAAGAGAGGAAAAAAAAAACAUAAAUAAAAAAGAAAGAAAAAACCUUAGUUUAGAAAGAGAAAACAACUCAUAAUAUCACUCCAUCUCUAGUCUGCCACUAUAAUAGCACUAGAAGCAUCCGCAAUUCACAACUCUUCUUCUUCUUUUUCUUUUUUCUCUUUAGAAUUUAUAAAAAAGAAAGAAAAAACCUUAGUUUAGAAAGAGAAAACCACUCAUAAUAUCACUUCAUCUCUAGUCGGCCACUAUGAUAGCUACUAGAAGCAUCCGCAAUUCACAACUCUUCUUCUUCUUCUUCUUCUUCUUUUUCUCUUUAGAAUUUAUGAAAAAAUAGUGCAGAAUAAUGCAUUUUGAUUUUUAAAUGCAUGAAUAAAAGUUUAAAAUAGUUUUUUUUUUGGCAUAGAUAUUGUGUAUUCUUAUAAAAAAUGGUAGCCAAAUAUGUGAAAAAUACAUGGAUAAAAAUUUAAAGUUAGGGUUUUAAAGUUUAUUUGUAUUUAAUGUUGGUUUUGCAUGCCUCUUAUUAACCAAAAAAAAAAAUGAUUAGAAGAUUAAAUGUGAUGAUUUUGAUUAAAAAACAAAUGCAUGAAGGAAAAAUCAAAACUUUUGUUUUUAAGUUUGCUUGUCAUUUAGACUUGGAAUGAUAUAGUUAGUGUUUUGAAAUGUGCUUUGUUUUUUAGAUGACGGGGCUUGAAAAAUACUUGAAUUCAAAUAUUACAUGCUACCUUGAUUAUGAAUUAAAAAACAAAUCAUUAAAUUUAUUUUUGCUUCCUUGAAUGAUACAUAAAUGAAUAAUAUGACUUAACAUGUUUUAUUUUUCAGAUUAAAUUGUUAUAAUGAGCCAGGAAAAAACACAUUACCGUCGAAAGGAGGACCUGGUGCGUGUCCGGCAUCCAUCAAGAGACCUGCUAGUAAUAUUGGGCCAUCCCCAUGGAGGAGGAUUGCAAGCAAUGCCUCGAGGAAGACUGUUAGGCCUACCGAACUUUGCCCAUUUUUUUUUGUUCUUGAGCUCUCGGACAUCUGUUGUUGAAUAAGAAAAGCUAAAGCUGGAGCUGAAAAGUAUGGUGGAAAAUCAUAUUGAAUUAUGUAUUUGAAACGUUAAAUAAGAUUAUUAUUUUAAAAUAUUAUUUGUCCACUAAUUGCUAUUGAAUUUAAAAUAAAUACACUUUUAAAACUAAUAUAUAGUUACCAAGAGUCAAUUUGAUGGCAGUAAAGGAGACCCUGCUUGAAUAAAAUCUCGUUGAAUUUGGUCAGUGUUUUUUAGAAUAAAGUGAAUAAAAAGUUAUUUCAAAACAUAACCAAUAUUUUUAGUUAUUUGUCUAUAAAGUUUAGUAUAUCCCAUAAUUAAAAAUCAUGAAUUUUGGAUGAAAUAAAAUCAAUAAAUCAAUUCUAAAAUCAAACACCGAUUGAAGCUUCAACUGCAUUUCUGAGCUAGGCAUUCCGACACAAAGAAAGCUAUAGAUUUGAGUUAAUACAUGUAUCUAAGCCUUAAAUAUUAUAGAACUUCAACUGCAUUUCUGAGCUAGGCAUUCUAAAAUAUGAAAUGAUAGAUUUAAGUACCCUAAAUAUUUGUAAAUAACUAGAAAACAAUUAAUCCAAAAAAAUAAUAAAGCUAAAAUCCAAAAUUAUCAAGAAAAAAAUUUAAAAUAUAAUAUUAAACUUCAAAGAUAUUUUUUAGGGCUUUUGGAGUGGCAUUUGGAAUAAACUUCAGGCCAGUGAGAUAUGUUCUUUUAGAUUAAUUUUUUAUUAGGAAUUUAUUUAUAAAAUUUAAGUUUGAUUUAACAAUUAAAUAAAAAAUUAUAAUUGUUUUGAGUUAGAUGUAGAAUAACUUUUUGUUGUUUAUUUAUUCAUAAAAUCCUAUACUAAUUGCUGCACAUCACAGUCAAAAUAGAAAAUGGAUAUUAUGAACAUCCACUCCACACUUUAACCGAAUACUCAAGAGAAAGUUUAAAUAGAUACCUUUUCAAAUUUCAAUUUUUUACACUUUGACUCUUAAUUUUUAAUUUUUUUACUUUGAUCCCUGAACAUUUUAAUCUAACCCUUGAAUUCAUUUUUUUAUAUCAUGAAUUCAACAUUCUUCUGGUAAAAACAGUUACCCCAAAUUACAUUAAGCUCUUGUAUUGCCUCAAAGAACGAAUCAAAUAACUAGACAUUGUUCGUAGCUAAUGUGAGUUAGCUCAAUCGGGAUGCCAUGUCCUAGAAAGCAACAAAACAAAAGAAACUUUAAGGGCAACUUUAUGCUCGAGCUGAGUUGACCAAAUGUUCUUUUUAUCCCGUAUUUGUUAUACUUUUUUCAACUAGUGGAGUAGAUAGUAGGACAAGAGGAUGUUUUCAAGAUCAAAAUGUAGGAAGUGGGUACCAAAUUUAAUCAUUUCACAGAAAAAAAAUCAAACUUCCAUGUAAGGUUCCCAACAAAUGAAAGCUCAUAGUUUGCUUCCGAAUCUACGUAGAACCAUGAACAGGAGUACUUUAUGUAGCACGUAAGAAAUCCAUCGAGAUUAGGAUUCAAAAUCUUGUUUUCCAAGAAUGUGCUCACCCAACUAACCUAACUGAGAAAAACGACAUGGCAACAAUUCCCCUAAUCCCUUUAUAAGGUUGAGGUUGUCAGUUGCAGAUGAAUGCAACAAGCUUGAAAGAAAGAAGUGUGUCAAUAGCGAGAGAGAGAUUGAAAGGGAACGAUCAGAAAGUCAGCAAAAAUGGAGUCCUCGUGGUUCCGUUUUAUCCUUCUUGCUGUCAGCAUCUUCCCUGCUUUGGUCGAAUGCAGGGUUCGGCAUUACAAAUUUAAUGUAAGUUUGCGUUGUUAAUGUUAUUUUUAUAGAACAAACUUGGAUAUGGUCCAGCCUUCACAUUGAAAAUUUUCUUCAAAAUGCACUUCAUUGUUAGAAAACUAUGAUUCAAAUGGCAAGCUUAGAGUUUUCUAAUGGAAAAUUUGUUCUCAUUCUUUCUUUAUUGGAAAUUAUUUGCAGCAAAAGCUCUCGCUAUCCAUAUAUAUAUAUUUACACAACUAGCUAGUCAGACUGUUGUUUAAUAUUUGUGCCAACUUAGUUUGAAAAUUAAUUAUUUGGACAGUAAUGGUAAGAUCUUAAAUCGUCAACAGACUCCAAGCAGAGCUAUAGUGACAUAAUUAGCUACAAACACUUUAACAACUUGGAAAAUUUUGUCACAAGCUUUCAGUAUAUAUUUGAUUCAGAAAUGAUCUUAAUUUGGUCUCUCAUUUGAACAGGUGGUGAUGAAAAACACUACCAGACUAUGCUCAAGCAAGCCGGUUGUUACCGUCAAUGGCCGAUUCCCAGGACCGACUCUGUAUGCCAGAGAAGACGAUACAGUUCUUGUAAAAGUUGUUAACCAUGUCAAAUAUAAUGUGUCUAUCCACUGGUACGAUACUAAAUAACAUUUAUCCUCUAAUUAACCAUGAAUGGUUCUGAUGUAGUUUUUUCUUGGUGUUUUGCAGGCAUGGCAUUCGGCAAUUAAGAACGGGCUGGGCUGACGGACCAGCGUACAUUACGCAAUGCCCCAUUCAGUCAGGGCAAAGCUAUGUCUACAAUUUCACAAUCACAGGCCAGAGAGGCACACUUCUGUGGCAUGCACAUAUUCUCUGGCUAAGAGCCACCGUCCACGGUGCCAUAGUUGUCUUGCCUAAGCUUGGUGUCCCCUACCCAUUCCCAGCUCCCCACAAGGAAGUGGUUGUUGUUUUAGGUGCGAAAGACUUCGAAUUUAUUGCUUCACCAUAACUUGAGCAAUUCUCGAGUUGAUAAGAAUAUGGUUCAAACCAUAACUCCAAGUAUAAGAUUCAUAGUUGUUAAAUAUGCAAUUCUGCAUUAAUUUGGUUAAGUUAUAUUGCAGCGGAAUGGUGGAAAUCAGACACUGAAGCUGUGAUCAAUGAAGCUCUUAAAUCAGGAUUAGCACCAAAUGUCUCUAAUGCUCACACAAUUAAUGGCCAUCCAGGAGCUGUCUCCGCUUGUCCUUCACAGGGUAUUUAACUGGCCUUAAAUUUAAUACUAAGGUUCCCGUUAUCAUGGUUUCACUAUAUUAAAAAGCUUACACAAGAAUGUUCUUCGAUUCUUGCAGGCGGUUUCACAUUGCCAGUCGAAAGUGGGAAGACAUACAUGCUACGGCUGAUCAAUGCUGCACUAAACGACGAGCUCUUCUUCAAAAUUGCAGGGCACAAGCUUACUGUCGUGGAAGUUGAUGCCCUACGUUAAACCUUUCAAAACCGAUACAGUCCUGAUUGCCCCAGGCCAGACCACCAAUGUCCUCGUCACAACUAACAAAAAUACCGGCAAGUACUUGGUUGCAGCCUCCCCAUUCAUGGAUGCUCCGAUUGCAGUAGACAACAUGACUGCAACAGCCACUUUGCACUAUUCGGGAGCACUUUCUAGCACCCCUACAACUCUCACCAUCCCACCUCCCAAGAAUGCCACUGCAGUUGCCAACCAAUUUACCAAUUCUCUACGCAGUCUAAACUCGAAAAGGUUCCCUGCCAAAGUCCCAUUAACCGUUGAUCACAACCUUUUCUUCACUGUUGGUCUAGGGGUUAACCCCUGUCCAACUUGCAAAGCUGGUAAUGGUAGCAGAGUUGUUGCUAGUAUCAACAAUGUCACAUUUGUAAUGCCAACCACCGCGCUGCUUCAAGCACAUUUCUUCAACAUCAGCGGUG
rnacentral:lncRNA from 1 species